CCGUGGCUCAACUGGAUAGAGCAUCUGACUACGGAUCAGAAGGUUGCAGGUUCGAAUCCUGCCGGG
rnacentral:tRNA from 1 species